rnacentral:rRNA from 1 species
GACGAACGCUGGCGGCAUGCCUAAUACAUGCAAGUCGAACGCCAAAUCUUCCUGCUUGCAGGAAGAGGCGGAGUGGCGAACGGGUGAGUAACACGUGAGGAACUUGCCCAUAAGAGGGGGAUAACACCCGGAAACGGGUGCUAAUACCGCAUAAGUUUUCCCAGUGCAUGCUGGGAAAAUGAAAGGUGGCUCUGCUACCGCUUAUGGAUAGCCUCGCGGCGCAUUAGCUAGUUGGUAGGGUAAAGGCCUACCAAGGCUAUGAUGCGUAGCCGACUUGAGAGGGUGAUCGGCCACACUGGAACUGAGACACGGUCCAGACUCCUACGGGAGGCAGCAGUAGGGAAUCUUCCACAAUGGGUGCAAGCCUGAUGGAGCAAUGCCGCGUGAGUGAAGAAGGACUUCGGUUCGUAAAGCUCUGUUGUUGGGGAAGAACACGGAUAGGAGUCACUGCCUAUCCCUUGACGGUACCCAACCAGAAAGUCACGGCUAACUACGUG